rnacentral:rRNA from 1 species
CGGGGGGCAGCAGUGAGGAAUUUUCCGCAAUGGGCGAAAGCCUGACGGAGCAAUGCCGCGUGAGUGAAGAAGGCCCGUGGGUUGUAAAGCUCUUUUCUCAGAGAAGAAAAAAUGACGGUAUCUGAGGAAUAAGGACCGGCUAACCCUGUGCCAGCAGCCGCGGUAAUACAGGGGGUCCAAGCGCUAUCCGGAAUUAUUGGGCGUAAAGCGUCUGUAGGUGGUUUAAAAAGUCUAAUGUCAAAUACCAAGGCUCAACCUUGGGCAGGCAUUAGAGUACUUUUAAACUUGAGUGUGUUAGAGGUAGAGGGAAUCCCUAGCGUAACAGUGAAAUGUGUAGAUUUUAGGGAGAACACCAGCGGCGAAGGCGCUCUACUGGGCCACAACUGACACUGAGAGACGACAGCUUGAGUAGCGAAAAGGAUUAGAUACCCGCGU